rnacentral:rRNA from 1 species
UGGGGAAUUUUGGACAAUGGGGGAUACCCUGAUCCAGCCAUCCCGCGUGUGCGAUGAAGGCCUUCGGGUUGUAAAGCACUUUUGGCAGGAAAGAAACGUCAUGGGUUAAUACCCCGUGAAACUGACGGUACCUGCAGAAUAAGCACCGGCUAACUACGUGCCAGCAGCCGCGGUAAUACGUAGGGUGCAAGCGUUAAUCGGAAUUACUGGGCGUAAAGCGUGCGCAGGCGGUUCGGAAAGAAAGAUGUGAAAUCCCAGAGCUCAACUUUGGAACUGCAUUUUUAACUACCGGGCUAGAGUGUGUCAGAGGGAGGUGGAAUUCCGCGUGUAGCAGUGAAAUGCGUAGAUAUGCGGAGGAACACCGAUGGCGAAGGCAGCCUCCUGGGAUAACACUGACGCUCAUGCACGAAAGCGUGGGGAGCAAACAGG